AAGUCGUAACAAGGUUUCCGUAGGUGAACCUGCGGAAGGAUCAUUAACCCUGUGAACUUUCAGCGCUCUUGUAGCCCUAGAGGAACAGCAAUCCCGGUAAAUCAAAUGGCGGAAAGAGUUUUGAUUCGGGACCUCUGUCCAAAAGGUAUCAAGUUACAAUCGAGCAGAGCAGUGGCAUGGUUUCCCUAAGCAGUGCAGAAGGAUCCACUGAGUAAGGAUAACGCAUCACGGUUGCCAGAGGUCGAUCACCGGCCGGCAGACAUGUCACAGGGCUUUACGCCCCUUCAUUCACCCCUUGCCUAAUCAAGCCUCGCGGAAACGCCGGGCAUAAAAACCGAACAACUGUUAACAAUGGAUAUCUUGGUUCUC
rnacentral:misc_RNA from 1 species